UUGGAUCACACAUGGGCUUGGAGAAUCACU
rnacentral:piRNA from 1 species